rnacentral:rRNA from 2 species
GGGUUGUGAGGUUAAGCGACUAAGCGUACACGGUGGAUGCCCUGGCAGUCAGAGGCGAUGAAGGACGUGCUAAUCUGCGAAAAGCGCCGGCGAGGUGAUAUGAACCUUUGACCCGGCGAUGUCCGAAUGGGGAAACCCAGUGUGUUCCGACACACUAUCGUUAACUGAAUACAUAGGUUAACGAGGCGAACCGGGGGAACUGAAACAUCUAAGUACCCCGAGGAAAAGAAAUCAACCGAGAUUCCCCCAGUAGCGGCGAGCGAACGGGGAGCAGCCCAGAGUCUGAAUCAGCUUGUGUGUUAGUGGAAGCGUCUGGAAAGUCGCACGGUACAGGGUGACAGUCCCGUACACGAAAGCACACAGGUUGUGAACUCGAAGAGUAGGGCGGGACACGUGGUAUCCUGUCUGAAUAUGGGGGGACCAUCCUCCAAGGCUAAAUACUCCUGACUGACCGAUAGUGAACCAGUACCGUGAGGGAAAGGCGAAAAGAACCCCGGCGAGGGGAGUGAAAAAGAACCUGAAACCGUGUACGUACAAGCAGUGGGAGCACCUUCGUGGUGUGACUGCGUACCUUUUGUAUAAUGGGUCAGCGACUUAUAUUCUGUAGCAAGGUUAACCGUAUAGGGGAGCCGAAGGGAAACCGAGUCUUAACUGGGCGUUAAGUUGCAGGGUAUAGACCCGAAACCCGGUGAUCUAGCCAUGGGCAGGUUGAAGGUUGGGUAACACUAACUGGAGGACCGAACCGACUAAUGUUGAAAAAUUAGCGGAUGACUUGUGGCUGGGGGUGAAAGGCCAAUCAAACCGGGAGAUAGCUGGUUCUCCCCGAAAGCUAUUUAGGUAGCGCCUCGUGAACUCAUCUUCGGGGGUAGAGCACUGUUUCGGCUAGGGGGCCAUCCCGGCUUACCAACCCGAUGCAAACUACGAAUACCGAAGAAUGUUAUCACGGGAGACACACGGCGGGUGCUAACGUCCGUCGUGAAGAGGGAAACAACCCAGACCGCCAGCUAAGGUCCCAAAGUCAUGGUUAAGUGGGAAACGAUGUGGGAAGGCACAGACAGCCAGGAUGUUGGCUUAGAAGCAGCCAUCAUUUAAAGAAAGCGUAAUAGCUCACUGGUCGAGUCGGCCUGCGCGGAAGAUGUAACGGGGCUAAACCAUGCACCGAAGCUGCGGCAGCGACGCUUAUGCGUUGUUGGGUAGGGGAGCGUUCUGUAAGCCGUUGAAGGUGUGCUGUGAGGCAUGCUGGAGGUAUCAGAAGUGCGAAUGCUGACAUAAGUAACGAUAAAGCGGGUGAAAAGCCCGCUCGCCGGAAGACCAAGGGUUCCUGUCCAACGUUAAUCGGGGCAGGGUGAGUCGACCCCUAAGGCGAGGCCGAAAGGCGUAGUCGAUGGGAAACAGGUUAAUAUUCCUGUACUUGGUGUUACUGCGAAGGGGGGACGGAGAAGGCUAUGUUAGCCGGGCGACGGUUGUCCCGGUUUAAGCAUGUAGGCGGAGGUUCCAGGUAAAUCCGGUACCUUUUAACGCUGAGGUGUGAUGACGAGGCACUACGGUGCUGAAGUAACAAAUGCCCUGCUUCCAGGAAAAGCCUCUAAGCAUCAGGUAACAUCAAAUCGUACCCCAAACCGACACAGGUGGUCAGGUAGAGAAUACCAAGGCGCUUGAGAGAACUCGGGUGAAGGAACUAGGCAAAAUGGUGCCGUAACUUCGGGAGAAGGCACGCUGAUAUGUAGGUGAAGCCCCUGCGGGUGGAGCUGAAAUCAGUCGAAGAUACCAGCUGGCUGCAACUGUUUAUUAAAAACACAGCACUGUGCAAACACGAAAGUGGACGUAUACGGUGUGACGCCUGCCCGGUGCCGGAAGGUUAAUUGAUGGGGUUAGCGGCAACGCGAAGCUCUUGAUCGAAGCCCCGGUAAACGGCGGCCGUAACUAUAACGGUCCUAAGGUAGCGAAAUUCCUUGUCGGGUAAGUUCCGACCUGCACGAAUGGCGUAAUGAUGGCCAGGCUGUCUCCACCCGAGACUCAGUGAAAUUGAACUCGCUGUGAAGAUGCAGUGUACCCGCGGCAAGACGGAAAGACCCCGUGAACCUUUACUAUAGCUUGACACUGAACACUGGUCCUUGAUGUGUAGGAUAGGUGGGAGGCUUUGAAGUGUGGACGCCAGUCUGCAUGGAGCCGUCCUUGAAAUACCACCCUUUAAUGGCUGGUGUUCUAACGUAGACCCGUAAUCCGGGUUGCGGACAGUGUCUGGUGGGUAGUUUGACUGGGGCGGUCUCCUCCCAAAGAGUAACGGAGGAGCACGAAGGUUAGCUAAUCCUGGUCGGACAUCAGGAGGUUAGUGCAAUGGCAUAAGCUAGCUUGACUGCGAGAGUGACGGCUCGAGCAGGUGCGAAAGCAGGUCAUAGUGAUCCGGUGGUUCUGAAUGGAAGGGCCAUCGCUCAACGGAUAAAAGGUACUCCGGGGAUAACAGGCUGAUACCGCCCAAGAGUUCAUAUCGACGGCGGUGUUUGGCACCUCGAUGUCGGCUCAUCACAUCCUGGGGCUGAAGUAGGUCCCAAGGGUAUGGCUGUUCGCCAUUUAAAGUGGUACGCGAGCUGGGUUUAGAACGUCGUGAGACAGUUCGGUCCCUAUCUGCCGUGGGCGCUGGAGAAUUGAGGGGGGCUGCUCCUAGUACGAGAGGACCGGAGUGGACGCAUCACUGGUGUUCGGGUUGUCAUGCCAAUGGCACUGCCCGGUAGCUAAAUGCGGAAAAGAUAAGUGCUGAAAGCAUCUAAGCACGAAACUUGCCCCGAGAUGAGUUCUCCCUGAGACUUUAAGUCUCCUGAAGGAACGUUGAAGACGACGACGUUGAUAGGUCGGGUGUGUAAGCGCAGCGAUGCGUUGAGCUAACCGAUACUAAUGAACCGUGAGGCUUAACCUUACAACGCCGAAG